ensembl:lncRNA
ACCCUCACCAUAAAUGUGUGAUUAAUCGCAGGUUUAAGGGAGUUCUCAGUUACUGUGAAAACAAAUCAUUACCAGAAACUGGCAUUCCCAAUUUAUUUUAUUUAUUUUAUUUUUAUUUUUAUGACUUAGACCCCAUUCUCCAUAUUUUCCAUAUGUUUGGGGUCCUUUUCAUCCAUUCAGCACCUCGCAGAGAGCUCAGCUCACCCCUAUCUCCUAUUGGGUCAUGACGAACAAGAGAAUUUUGCUGUUUUCACUUUUCAGUUUCAAAGGUGGUAGAAACAUGAGUACUCUCGAAGAAGAGGAAUGAGAGUAACUUGACCAGGUUUGGAGAGCAUUUGAGGGAUAUUGUGAUUAAAUUGACUUUGGGGACACCCAGCUGCAAGUCAAGACAUGGAGUCCAAAGCAGUGACAACUGCCACAAGAAUCAAAUGGAAAGAGACACACCCUCCAAAGAUGCCAGGGACGAAGACAACAUUCUGUACAGAUAAAUACAAGCCUGAAUCUGCAGUCACUGGGGGCAGCCUCUGUUAGUGGCCCCUAAUGUUCUACUGAGCUGCCUCUCAAAUCUGCGACCUCAGAUGUGACAGUUGGACCAUAAAGAAGGCUGAGCACCAAAAAAUUAAUGUUUUCAAAUUGUGGUGCUGGAGAAGAUUCUUAAGAGUCCCUUGGACUGCAAAGGAGAUCAAACCAGUCCAUCCUAAAGGGAAUCAACUCUGAAUAUUCACUGGAAUGACUGAUGCUGAAACUCCCAUACUUUGGUUACCUGAUGGGAAGAGCUGACUCAUUGGAAAAGACCCUGAUGCUGCAAAAGAUUGAAGGCAGGAGAAGGGGAUGACAGAGGAUGAGACAGUUGGAUGACAUCACUAACUCGGGAGAUAGUGAAGGACAGGGAAGCGUGGAGUGCUGCAGUCCAUGGGGUUAGCAGAGAGUCAGACAAGACUGAGUGACUGAACAACAAGAACUAACUCUUAAGACAUAUCAUGCUUCCCCACCAAUCUCUGCAAGUAAAGAAGACAGGGAAUGUCAUUUCCCCAUACGAAUUCUAUAAGCAUCUUCAAGAAGCAGAAUUAUCCCCAGCUAGGGUAUUUUGUUCUAAUUUCUUUUUUUUUAAUUUACUCCAUUUUACUUAUAAUUGCAUUUCAACUUAAUACUCUUGGGUCACUACAUUCAUUCCUCGUAUCAAAAAUAGUAUUCCAAACCUGGUUAACAAAGCAUGCUUUUAAGACUUUCAGAAUACAACUUUCAGGAUGAUUAAAUUUGUGUACAUUUAUUCUUUUUUAAUAUUUACUUAAUAUUGGCGUGUAUUUGAUUUAUAGUGUUGUGUUAGUUUCAGGUGUACAGUAAAGCGAUUCAGUUACACCUAUACAUAUAUUCGUUAUUUUUCAGAUUCUUUUCCCAUGUAGGUUAUUACAGAAUAUUGAGUAGAAUUUCCUGUGCUAUAUAUGUUUAUUUCUAAUAGUAUAUUUUGUUUGCCACCUACCAAAACUCUCAUGAGUUCUCACACUUUGAUGUUCUCUCUCUCACACACACCCACACACACCACUCUCCACAUAUUCUCCUUUAAAUCCACACAGCAGUAAACACAGAAACAAAUGAACUGGUCAGUUAAUCUUGACUCUUCCCUGAGACAUGGAAAAAAACAUGAAAGAGGAAAAAGAGGAAAAGUCAAAGAAAGCAAGACACAGGAGGUCAAAAAGCGGAAG